AGCAGCCGCGGUAAUUCCAGCUCCAAUAGCGUAUAUUAAAGUUGUUGCAGUUAAAAAGCUCGUAGUUGAAUUUCGGGGUUAGUAGGUUGGUCAUGCCUCUGGUAUGUACUGGUCUCACUGAUUCCUCCUUCCUGAUGAACCGUAAUGCCAUUAAUUUGGUGUUGCGGGGAAUUUGGACUGUUACUUUGAGAAAAUUAGAGUGUUUAAAGCAAGCUAACGCUUGAAUACAUUAGCAUGGAAUAAUGAAAUAGGACGUUCGAUCCUAUUUUGUUGGUUUCUAGGAUUGACGUAAUGAUUAAUAGGGAUAGUUGGGGGCAUUAGUAUUCAAUUGUCAGAGGUGAAAUUCUUGGAUUUAUUGAAGACUAACUACUGCGAAAGCAUUUGCCAAGGAUGUUUUCAUUAAUCAAGAACGAAAGUUAGGGGAUCGAAGACGAUCAGAUACCGUCGUAGUCUUUAACCAUAAACUAUAGCCGACUAGGGAUCGGAUGAUGUUAAUUUUAAUGACUCAUUCGGCGCC
rnacentral:rRNA from 1 species